GGCGAUGAGGGAUGAACCUAACGCUCGGUUAAGGUGCUAAACUGCUCGCUCAUCAGAUACCACAAAGGGUGUUGGUCGAUCUUAACAGCAGGACGGUGGUCAUGGAAGUCGAAAUCCGCUAAGGAGUGUGUAACAACUCACCUGCCGAAUCGACUAGCCCCGAAAAUGGAUAGCGCUGAAGCGAGUGACCGAUACCGGGCCAUUGUUGCAAGAUAAUUGGCAACAAUGAGUAGGAGGGCGUGGGGGUUGUGAAGAAGCUUGGACGUGAGUCUGAGUGAAACAGCUUCCAGUGCAGAUCUUGGUGGUAGUAGCAAGUAUUCAAUAAGAGAACAUUGAAGGCCGAAGUGGGGAAGGGUUCCAUGUGAACAGCACUUGGACAUGGGUUAGCCGAUCCUGAGAGACAGGUUAAAUUCCAUCGGAUUGGAGCUUUGGCUCUGUUUCUCGAAAGGGAAGCUGGUUAGUAUUCCAGCGCCGAGACGUGGAUAAUAUGUGGCAACACAAGUGAACUCGGACACGCCAUAGGGGACCCCAGGAAGCGUUGUCUUUUCUUUUUAACAGUUCGACUUACCCUGGAAUCAGAUCAUCUGGAGAUAGGGUUUUCGAACUGGAAUAGCACCUUGUCUAACAGGGUGUCUGGAGUGUUCUCGCUGGCCCUUGAAAAUCCGAGGGAUAGAUUUAUUCGCACUCUCGAUCGUACCCAUAACCGCAUCAGGUCUCCAAGGUUAGAAGCCUCUGGUCCGUAGGACAAAGUAGAUAAGGGAAGUCGGCAAAAUAGGUCCGUAACUUCGGGAAAAGGACUGGCUCUGAGGUUUGGUAUGUGGAACCUGGAUUAAUCGUUGGAGUCGAGCAGAGACUACUUGUUGCUCACGUGACUUGUGGACUCCUUGCUUGAUACCUUCAAUUGAUCCAGGCUGCUUCGGCGCUCUGCAUGCACUUAACAAACAGCUCAGACUGGAGCGGACAAGGGGAAUCCGACUGUUUAAUCAAACAAAGCAUUGUGAUGGCCUCAAAGUGUUGACACAAUGUGAUUUCUGCCCAGUGCUCUGAUGUCAAAGUGAUGAAAUUCAAACAAGCGCGGGUAAA
rnacentral:ncRNA from 1 species